UUUAUACUUAGAUAUUUAUAUCUAAUAUCCAAAGAAAAUUUACUAAUUGUUACAGUAGAUAUUAAUCUGACAUGCUUAUUAAUUCAUCCCAAAAAUAUAAUAAUAGGUCAGCUGGGCAUGGUGGCUCACACCUAUAAUCACAGCACUUUGGGAGGCCAAGGCAGGCGGAUCACCUGAGGUCAGGAGUUUGAGACCACCCUGACCAACAUGGAGAAACCCCGUCUCUACUAAAAAAAAAUGCACAAUUAGCAGGGGAUGGUGGUGCAUGCUUGUAAUCCUAGCUAAUCAGGAGACUGAAGCAGGAGAAUCACUUGAACCCGGGAGGCAGGGGUUGCAGUGAGCUGAGAUUGCACAACUGCAUUCCAGCCUGAUGACAGAGCGAGACUUCAUCUCAAAAAAAAAAAAAAUUAACACAAUGUGUGGAAAAUAUAAAAUUAGUUAGAAGAUAUGUCUUAGAAAUUAAACUUUUAGAAGAGUUAAUGGUAAGUGGAGAAUGUUAAAUUUAAUUUUUUAUUACAUACUUACAGCUCAACUUAAGUUUUCAUUCAGAAUCUUUUAUUUUGGUGUGAAUGUUAAAUAUUCAAAAAUAAUAGAAUGACACCUGUGGAUUUCACAUGUGAAAUAAACUUUUUCAUAUUAAUGUUAAAAUCUUGAGGAAUUUCUCACACUUGUAUAAUGUACUUUUUUAUUGGGUGCAGUUUACAAUUUAGAGGUUCAGUCUUUAGAGGUUUCACUGGUCAACUCCUUGGUCAUUUUAUCUGGAAAAGUUUUAAAGAUCAUGGCAUCUUUUGAGUUAAAAAAUGUCUUCAGUGAUCUGGGAUGCAAACUAAUUUACUCUCUUCAGAGUGGUUUAAUCAUGGGAAACACAGCAAGAGCUGCCCUUUUUGUGUCUUCCCUAUCAUUACCAGCAGCACCAGAAACUCCAGUUGUCUCAAGCUCAAAAUAAAAGCCCUAAGGUACAUUGACUUCUCCCAUGCUCUGUGCUGGGUCCCAAACAUGGUGGUAAAUAUUAGAGUUCAUACGGUCAUGACUGACUAGGUGACAAAACAGCACAGAAACUGUAUCUUUCAUACUAUUCAGACAGGUUUAUGACAAAAACACAGGUCAGAAUUUGAAACAUUGUCAUUUUUAAUAGUUUUUAUAAAUAUAUUUUUAAAUUCACUGAUGAAAUAUGUAUUUAUUUUGUGAAAUAGUAUUUUGAAGUAAAUAUACUUUGUCAAUGCCUAAUUUUAGGUAAUUGUCAAAUACUUUGCCUCACAUAGUUAUUAUUUUUGUGGUGAGAAGACAUUUACUGUCUUAGCAUUUUUUCAGAAAUACAAUACAUGCAUUAUAAUCUCUUCAACUUAUUUUUCUUAUCCAACUGUAAUUAGGUAAUCAAGAUACGUUUUGUAGAAUCCACAUGUGAGUGAAAUCAUGAGAUAUUAACCUUUCUAUGCCUUAUUUCAACAACUAUAGUGUCCUUUAGGCUUAUCUUUGGGAUUAAAAAUAAGAUUUUCUGUUGAAAAUACACUAUUCGAUUGUAUAUAUAUACCAUAGUGUCUGUAUUUCGUCAUUGGGUGAUGGACACAUAUGUUGAUUCUAUGUUUUGGCUUCUGUAAAGUGUGCUGCAACAAACAGAAUUGCAGAUGUCUGUUCAUCAAUCUAGUUUCAUUUGUGUUGUGAUAGAUAUCCAGUAGUUCAAUUACAUGUUAGAGUUUAAUUGUUUUGCAAAAUUUCUAUUUUUCAUAAUGGCUGUUUAUAUUUACAUUGACACAAACAGUGUGAAAACUACCCUCUUUCUCUUUUUUCAAGUUUACCAACAACUUUUUUAAACAUUUUAACAGGAGUGAGUUUAUAUCUUAGAGUUGUUUUGGUUUGCCUUUCCUUGAUGAUAAUUGACUUUGAGCCAUAUUCAUCUAUCUGCCAAGCUAUAUGUAUGUCUUUCUUUGAAAAUUAUUUAUAUAUAUCUUUUGCUUAUUUUUCAUGGUUAUUUGUUUUUUGUUGUAUAGUCCUUUGAGUUUCUUAUAUAUUUUUGAUAUUAACUGCUUUUCACAUGUGUAAUUUGCAAAUAUUUUCUUCCAUUUUUCAGUUAUGUCAUUCUGCUGAUUGUAUCGGUUGGUGUGCAGCAGCUUCUUAAUUUUAAGGAAUCUGAUUUGUCUAUUUCCCCCUAAAAUUUUGAGGUUAAACCCAAGAGUCACUGCCCAGACCAACGUUAUGGGGCAUUCAUUCUAUAUUUCCUCAUCUUAGUUUUAGAUUUUCAGGUCUCAUAUUUAAGUAUCUAAUUUGAGUUAAUUUUUAUAUAUGGCAUGAGAUGAAGGUCUGAUUUUAUUAUUUUGCAUGUGGAUAUAUAUUUUCUCAACAUCAUUUAUAAAAGAGACUCUUCUUUUUCAAAAAAUAUUGUCAUCUUUAUUUACAAUCAGUUGUCUGUAAAUACAUGAAUUUAUUUCUGGUCUUUCUCUUUUGCUCUGUUGGCCUUUGUGUCCAUUUUUAUGUAAGUAACACUCUGUUUUGAUUACUGUAGCUUUGUUGGACAUUUAAAAGUCAGGUAGAGUGAUUCCUUCAGCCUUUUAUUUUUCAUUUUUUGCUUGAUUUUUGUAGCUAUUAAGGCCUUUUGUGGGGCAAUAUACAUUUUAGAUUUUUUAAAAACAUUUCUGUAGAGAAUUUAACUGGUAUUUUAAUAGAAGUUUUAUUAUAUCUGUAUAUCAGUUUGUGUAAUGCUGAUAUUUAACAAUAUUAAUCAUGCCUAUUUAUGAAUUAGAAAUAUCUCUUUGUUUGAAUAUUAUUUAUUUUCUAACUUUUUUUAGAUUCUAAUGUACAGAUCUUUCACCUUUUUGGUUACAUUCAUUUCUAAGUAUAGUUACUGCUGCAAUUAUUGUAGAUGGGAUUGGUUUUUGGUUUUAUUUUCAGAUACUUUAUUGUUAGUGUAUAGAAAUGUUACUGAAUUUUUUAUGUUGAUUUUGUGCAAGUUUAAUAAAUUUGUUUAUUCUAAUAAUUUUUUGUGAAGUCCUAGGUUUUUCUAUACUUAAGAUUAUAUCAUCUGCAAGGAAAAUAUAAUUUAUCUUCUUCAUUUUAUUUAAGAUCGCUUUGAUUUUAUUGAAUAAUUUUUCUGUCUUGGUCAUUUUGUAUUAUGUUCAGUAAGAUGAAAGAAAUUGAGCUGGGCGUGGUGGCUCACACCUGUAAUCCCAGCACUGUGGGAGGCAGAGGUGGAUGCAUCACGAGGUCAGGAGACCAAGACCAUCCUGGCUAACAAGGUGAAACCCCGUCUCUACUAAAAAUACAAAAAUUAGCCAGGCGUGGUGGUGGGCACCUGUAGUCCCAGCUACUCAGGAGGCUGAGGCAGGAGAAUGGUGUAAACCUGGGAGGCAGA
rnacentral:lncRNA from 1 species